GGAAAGAAACCUGGAAAGGUAGGGAGGUAUGGAUAUGGACAAGCUAUGCCAAGGAGCAGGGCUUUGUCAUGGAGAGUGACUAGGUGCUUUUACAUAGGAAAGUCACCUGAUAAUAUUAAAACCUGUGAAAUAUCACUCUGGUGGAAGUGUGAAUGAAUUUGAAAGGGGUGUAACACUGUUCUACUUUGUUUACUCCUCAGUACCCUUGGCUGUGUACAUUUGAGUAAAGAGAGCACUAUAAAAUCAAAAACCAAUGAAAUGGUUUCCAGAACACAGAACUAUUAAGCUUAAGAAAAGGACAGAAGGAACUGAAGAGAGAGGAACUGUUUUGGAGCAUCACACUUCCACCUCAGAAGAAAUAAGGAAGGAAGGAGGAGGGUGUUCCCACGGCUCUUCAACCAGGCCGGCUCUUCAGCCUACAUCCCCAUCUCAUCAAGUAAAAGGGAUUUUUCAACUGGACCAACCAGAUGGUUUAACAGUGCACUCCCACACCAUUCAACUACGCAAGGGAGAUACACUUAACAUAUGCAGUCGUAUAACACCUACUAACAUUUUCAAACAUUAAACCUUUAAAAAAGAGUUCUAAAGAAAUAGAAGCUUGAAGUAUCAUCUCUCAAGUAUAUAGACACUACUUCAUGGUGUGGUAAUAUAUGCAUAUAGAAGCUAGUAAACACCUCCAGGAGAUGCAAAAGGAAUUAGAACUGCCACAAGGUGCAAGCAAAACCUUGAGGUAAUCAAUCUGCAUCCCAUUUUGGAUGAGAAUAUUUGCAACUUUGAAGGUUAUUUUAAGGACAGCAGCAGAAGAAUUAUGGCAGCUCUUCACGGAAAAAAAAAUGGCAACAAUAAAAUCAGCAACUCCUGCCAAAUAAAUGGGCAUAAAAAAGAAAUCAUAGACUGCUGGCAAUGGUGGGGAAAAAGUUAUAAAAAUUGUCUCUGCACCAUCUUCCUUUUGUCCUCUAAAAUAUUCACAUUAGCAAAAGUAUAUAACAGCUGAUGAAGAAAUACUGAUAAUUUGUCUUUCUUCUUUAAAAUAUGAAGACUUCGAAGUUAUUUAUCCAAACCAACCUGAUCAUUUCUUAAGAGUGAAUAUACCUUGGAAGACGUGUCCUGCCUUUAGUAGCGUCACAAUGGAUUACAUCCUCUAUAAAGCAGUCUGGGAUAUUCUGCCCAAUCAGAGGCUAACAUCUGCCACAAGACAAAUAUGGUGCCUGCCCCCAUGGAGCUCAUAUUCGAAUGGAGAAAAUGUCAACAAGUAUCCCACGGAGUGAACACUUCAAAAGGAGAAGCACAGGUGAGAAAAUCGAAUUUGGACACCGUUGAGGAGACUAUUGCAGUCAUCCAAGCUCAAGAUGGUGGAGCUUCAUCCUUGAGAAUAACCAAUGGGGAUAGAUUUAAGAGACACUUAGAGUCUGCAGCCAACAGGGCUGAAUGAGCAGAGAGUUAUGAUUCAGAAGAUCAUCUAAAAUUGAACAGCUGCCACUACUGGCAAUAAGUCUACUGCCAUUUGGUAGAUAACCUUCUUAUCACACAGAAAAAUAUCAGUACAGACAAAUAGACCGCAAAGAAAAUGAGACCAUCAGCAAAGAAGAUAAAGAAGUUUGUACAAAGCAACUUUUUAUAAAUGGAUGGCUGUCAGGCAAAAAUAAAUUUCCUGUGGACAAGACCAAGAGCAAGGCAAGAGGAAAAUAAACAUGUUUAAAC
ensembl:lncRNA LINC00343 long intergenic non-protein coding RNA 343